AUCUUGUGCAAGUCAUGUAACUAACCUGUUUGGGCACAAUUCCGUCAACUGCAAAAGGCCUAUCAUAGCAAUCGCCCAGCUUUCCUCCAGGGUUGUGAGGAUUAAAAGAGUGCACUCAGCAACAGUCAGGUAUGACAAGGAGCAAGACGGACCGCGAUGACGUAGGACCCAGGGCUGGCCGAAGGCUUGUGGGCGGGGCUUGAUCUUGGGUUUGCAUGCGGCGACAGGAUUGGUCAAGAAGAGCCUUCAUCAAGCCCUCUCAAGGUCCCGCCCCAGAUGUCACUGCGCUUGCGCACUUUCUGUUUGAUUCGCCGCAAAGCUACGUGUGACCUUGCGACGCUUGUGGCGCUCGGGUCGCAGAAGCGUCAGUGGCUGUCGCUGCGGCUGCGUGGCGGGUUGUCCAGGUAACCACGGGAGUUGCCGCUGUCCGGUAGCAUCUGAACAACAGUUGCACGUCCGGUAGCAUCUGAACAACAGUUGCGUGUCAGGCAGUUGAAGCACCUGCUGAGCUCUCAGGAUGGAGCUGCAAAGGUGACUUGUAUGGCUUGGUCCCAGAACAAUGCCAAAUUUGCUGUCUGCACAGUGGAUCGAGUGGUAUUGCUGUAUGAUGAACAUGGAGAAUGGAGAGAGAAAUUCUCCACCGAACCAGCUGACAUGAAGCUAUAUGGUGAAGGGCAUGGCUUUUUCUCCUGAUUCCACUAAAAUUGCCAUAGGACAGACUGACAUCAUCUGUGUCUACAAGAUUGAAGAAGACUGGUGAGGAUAGAGACUGGGAGAUGGGAUGGCCCAGGAAAGAAGGGAAAGGCAAGAGAAAUGCCUCUCUGGGGAGGGGAAAUGAAGAGGAUGAGAAGCCACACUUGGGUAUUGAGGGCACUUUCUGGAGUCUGUUGUUGCUUUUCUACCUUCGCCUGUCCCAUGUGUUCUGCAAUCCCAUCCCUGGAGGAAUCAGCCCAAGGUCAACAGGAGGCCCUGUGAGAUCCUGGAAGCCCAGAGGGAUGUUGCAUCUUUGUUACUGUUCUGAAACUCCUUAGGCUCCCUCAUAUGCCUCCUUUCAGGGCUCCUACAAAGUAGUCAGAAACACUAGUGGGCCAGGAAGAAAUCUGCUCUUUCUUCUCUUCCCUCAGCAUCAUGUUUGGCAAUUUGUUUAUGAAAGUGGUUUUAAAUAUGCUCCCCUGCUUUUGUUUGGCAGGGGUGACAAGAAAGUCAUCUGCCACAAGUUCAUCCAGAUGAUAAAGUUCAGUCCAUUCCCUGGAAGCUUAGGAUGAGCAAACAUCUAUCAAUAUAUCUACUUAUAUCUAUAUAUAUCAUCUAUAUCAAUAUAUCUACCUACUUAUAUAUAAGUAGAUAUAUUUGUAUAGUAGAUAUAGUAGAAAUGCAGGAGUUGCAUUUCUAACAUCUGAGUCUGGACUUUUCCUACUGCAAGGACGGUGUUUCGUGGCUGCUCAUGGUCACCUGCUUUCUUCCUCAGAGCCCUGUUGUGUCCCUUCCCUGUAGGGGAUUGAGAUGGUGGUGUAUGGCGGGGUGUUCAAGUUGUUAUAAAUGUGCUGGCCCACACAGAUGGGGUUAUCUUUUUCAUCAUGUCCUUUCAUGCAGAGUGCUGUAAUUGUCUGCAGUGGCCCGCAGAGUACAUCAUUGUCUUUGGACUGGCUGAAGGGAAGGUUCUUUUAGCAAACACCAAAACUAAUAAACCCUCUCCCAUCUAUGGGACAGAGUCUUAUGUGGUGUCCCUGACAACAGUGAGUAAAGAGGAGUAAUAUCACAAGAGUCUGGAAGUGUUGGGAAAGCGCUGUGGUGAAGUCU